rnacentral:rRNA from 1 species
CARMSGMGGYRMWUYCAGCUCCAAUAGCGUAUAUUAAAGUUGUUGCAGUUAAAAAGCUCGUAGUUGAAUCUCGGGAUUGACACAUCGGUCGUGCCUUAAGGGGUAUGAACUGGUGUAGUCAAUUUCUCACCUUCUGGAGAACCGCGAUGCCCUUAAUUGGGUGUCACGGGGAACCAGGACCUUCACUUUGAAAAAAUUAGAGUGUUUAAAGCAGGUAUUUUGCUUGAAUACAUUAGCAUGGAAUAAUAAAAUAGGACGGCAUGAUUCUAUUUUGUUGGUUUCUAGGAUCACCGUAAUGAUUAAUAGGGAUAGUUGGGGGCAUUAGUAUUCAAUUGUCAGAGGUGAAAUUCUUGGAUUUAUUGAAGACUAACUACUGCGAAAGCAUUUGCCAAGGAUGUUUUCAUUAAUCAAGAACGAAAGUUAGGGGAUCGAAGACGAUCAGAUACCGUCGUAGUCUUAACCAUAAACUAUGCCGACUAGGAAUCAGACGAUGUUAWUUUWKYMMUGACUCGUUCGGCGCCUUACGGGAAACAAAAAUCCC